rnacentral:rRNA from 1 species
UACGAAGGGGGCUAGCGUUGCUCGGAAUCACUGGGCGUAAAGGGUGCGUAGGCGGGUCUUUAAGUCAGGGGUGAAAUCCUGGAGCUCAACUCCAGAACUGCCUUUGAUACUGAAGAUCUUGAGUUCGGGAGAGGUGAGUGGAACUGCGAGUGUAGAGGUGAAAUUCGUAGAUAUUCGCAAGAACACCAGUGGCAGGAAGGCGCUCACUGCCCGAUACUGACGCUGAGGCACGAAAGCGUGGGGAGCAAACAGG